rnacentral:rRNA from 1 species
AGCAUAUCAAUAAGCGGAGGAAAAGAAACCAACAGGGAUUGCCCUAGUAACGGCGAGUGAAGCGGCAACAGCUCAAAUUUGAAAUCUGGCUUCGGCCCGAGUUGUAAUUUGCAGAGGAAGCUUUAGGCGCGGCACCUUCUGAGUCCCCUGGAACGGGGCGCCAUAGAGGGUGAGAGCCCCGUAUAGUUGGAUGCCUAGCCUGUGUAAAGCUCCUUCGACGAGUCGAGUAGUUUGGGAAUGCUGCUCAAAAUGGGAGGUAAAUUUCUUCUAAAGCUAAAUACCGGCCAGAGACCGAUAGCGCACAAGUAGAGUGAUCGAAAGAUGAAAAGCACUUUGAAAAGAGGGUUAAAUAGCACGUGAAAUUGUUGAAAGGGAAGCGCUUGUGACCAGACUUGCGCCGGGCAGAUCAUCCGGUGUUCUCACCGGUGCACUCUGCCCGGCUCAGGCCAGCAUCGGUUCUCGCGGGGGGAUAAAGGCCCUGGGAACGUAGCUCCUCCGGGAGUGUUAUAGCCCGGGGCGUAAUGCCUUCGCGGGGACCGAGGUUCGCGCAUCUGCAAGGAUGCUGGCGUAAUGGUCAUCAGCGACCCGUCUUGAAACACGGACCAAGGAGUCAAGGUUUUGCGCGAGUGUUUGGGUGUAAAACCCGCACGCGUAAUGAAAGUGAACGUAGGUGAGAGCUUCGGCGCAUCAUCGACCGAUCCUGAUGUUUUCGGAUGGAUUUGAGUAGGAGCGUUAAGCCUUGGACCCGAAAGAUGGUGAACUAUGCUUGGAUAGGGUGAAGCCAGAGGAAACUCUGGUGGAGGCUCGCAGCGGUUCUGACGUGCAAAUCGAUCGUCAAAUCUGAGCAUGGGGGCGAAAGACUAAUCGAACCAUCUAGUAGCUGGUUACCGCCGAA